ensembl:lncRNA
GCCCCGCCCAGCCGGGUAGAAAACAGAGAUGGAGCCUACUCCACCUGACUAGUGAGGUCCAGAAGUUUCGUUCUCCAGAUUCGGUACAGUGAGACUACCUGCCGGAGGUGUUUCAGAGCUAUUUGAGGAGCAGGGAUGCCCACGAGUUCCAUCCUUACUUUGUGUUUCCUUUUAGUUAUUAGCGAUGCUGUUGGAUGAGGCUUAGCCGUUUCAUAUGAAAGAAAAAGAAUUUGCUCUUAGGGAUCCGGGAGCAGCAGUACAAUCGCGGUGUUUUUUAUUUUAAAUAGGACUCUUCACAGUGUUAUUUUUGACCGGCGAACCUUCGGGUUCUUUUAAAGUUAUAUUUUUGUUUAUAUUCCUGGGUGAGCGGAAGGGAGAGGACGGGAGGAGCUUCCUGUGUGCCUGCCUGCAGGUGCACCAAUGCUCAGCAGAGGGCACUGAAUGCUGGGGAAACAUGCUUGUGAGCUGCCUGAAGAGGAAAUCAAUCUUUCAGGUUAAAGGGCAGCAAGAGUUCUUAACUGCUGAACCAUCCCUCCAGCCCCUUGUCCCUCUUUGAUCUUUGCUCUGAGGGGGAGGAGAGAAGAAUUGGGGGAUUUGAAACCCUCUUCCUGAACUUUAAGCAACACAUUGAUACCUGCAUGUAUGGCACAACUGAAGCAACAGCAACAUUUCCCUGUCCUGUGGGAAUGGCCUCGCGGACUAGUAAGGCCACUUUCUUGCUCCUAGCACCUUGCAUCUGAUGCUUCGUUCUCAAGGAAAAUCUCUUAAGACUCUCUUCUGGCUGUGGCCAGUUUCUGGAAUCCCUGAUUGGUUUAGUCAGAGCUCGUGGAAAUCACUAUUACUAAUAGGCAUGGGCAAGUACAUGUUGUGUCAUCUGGGACUCUAGCAUUGGAAUUCAUGGGGCAUCUUGUAACAGGAGGCCUGGACUGAGUACUGUAACUGAACUCUGAGGUUCUAACACGCUCCCAACAAGAGUAAUGAUGGAACUGUAGGGUUUAAUCCAAAUGCAAAAUGCCCAUGUGAGGAAUACAGAAAUUAAUCCAGUCUUUUAGAAAACUGACAUCAGCUUGAGUUUAAGUUGAGGAACAAUUUGUGCAGGACCCAGAGGGCUUCCUGACUAAGUGCUGUCAUCUGACUGUGCUAUAGGAGAUCAUCAUCUCAGUUCCUGUUCUUCCAGGUGGUUUGAAGAAGUCCGACUGUUUGAGAGAACCUUCUGGUUCCCUAAUUCUGCCCCUACUUAAGGCUAAAGCCAUGUUGCAAUCUGAAACAUGAGCUUGAGGUCACUGGAUCCUGUUGUUGAUUGGUCUUCCUGGCACAUUGGUUAAAUUUCUGCAUGGCAAUGAAGUUUGGCUGGUCCCCCACAAAGGAAAAGAGUCAGAGAAUGUAGACAGGCUGACAGUUUGUCAGUGUCAUCAGUUUGGAAAGUUGUCCUUGGCAGUGUUCUGAAGAAGUGUCCUUCCCAAUCCUUGAACUGUUCUAACCUUUGCCUGAAGGCUAAACUCUAAAAGACAGGCCCCAACUAGGGGAUUAUCAUGUUGACUGCCAAAUCUUUCUCUGUAUUCACAAGGCCCAGAAAAUCUGGUGUGCUUUGUAAGCCCCUCCUGAAUCUGCACGAAGUCUGAGUCCAUUUCAGUCUUCUGGACAGAGACAAAGGAAGGAAAAGUAUAAUAUGACUGCUAACUUGCUCAGCACCCUUUACCUACCCACCCUGCAUCCCAACAUGUCAUGUGGAAAAGUCCUCAUUUUUUAUAUUGAGAAGGGUUUUUUGUUUGUUUGAUUAAUUUUUGAUUUUUCAGUGAAGUCAUUUUCUUUGUGUCAAUACCUUUUUCUCUACACUUACCAGGCUGUUGUAAGAAAUAAACUGAGAAACAUUUGAUCUCUCCUCUUCCUCCACCAAGUGCUGACCCUCAGGCUGCACCACCAAUAAAUAGGGACCUGAAGAAAGGAAUGGGAGUUGUGUUUAUUUAAAAAAAGAUUAGACAGAAGGAAUACGUUUGGUGGAUGUGUAGUCAGGUAUGUGGAAGAGGGUGCCUCUGAGGGCCCAUGUUGAGGCAUCCCUUCCCUCUGAGAGGCAUAGGGAAGGGAGUUGAAAGGGUAGUAGGGACAGAGAAAGGGAGAGAGAGAGAGAGAGAGAGAGAGAGAGAGAGAGAGAGAGAGAGAGAGAGAGAGAGAAGAGGAGUAGAGGCUGGCCAUGAGCAUGCAGAGAAAGAAGGGAGGGGAAUGAGGAGAGAGGGGGGAAGGGGAGAGAGGACAGAAGGAGCAAGAAGGCAAGAACAAGAGAGAGAGGGGGAGGAGGAGGGGGCAAACAGUCCUUUUUAUUGUGAGUCAGGCACACCUGGCUGUUGCCAGGUAACUUGGGGGCAGAGUUUAAACAAAAUGCUGACAAUGGGGACUGGGGUCAGUUGGACAUAAAGGACUGUGGAGACUGCUGGAGACCAGAGUACUACCAUCCUGCAGUUAGUGAGAGAUAAAGCUGCAACAUUUCCAGCACUUCUCCAACCGCAACUCAGCUCAGCGGUAGCUGUUUUUCAGAAACUUCUGCUUUCCUCAACAGAAGGAAGUGAAAUAGAGAUGUUACUUUCUGGGUGGUUUAGCAAAACCGCUCUCUGUAUACCAUGUGCAACCUCCACACAACGACUUCCACAAUUGUGUCAAACCCAUCAAGCUACUCAACACACACACCAACAUACCACACACACACACACAUACACUCUCGUGCACACACACACACACACACACACACACACAGAGAGACACACACACUCACAUUGAAAGCUAUGACAAAAGGAAUCAAUCUCAAGAAAAAUCAAACAUGUUUUGCCAUUGGGAUGGUAUUUGUUCAAAUGCUGUCUGUUAUGUAAGAGGUUGUGGGCCAAGGUUGGGGGAGGGACAGAUGGGGAAAUUCCAAUGUGUGCAAUUUUUGUGGAAAGGAUGACCGUAGGAGUAAUGCAGUCUCAGGAUUUCAUUGUGGGAACUCGGGAGUACUGAGGGUGGGAAUGAAGCCAGAGAAAGAAAGUAGAAUUACUUUUGACAUUCUUCACAGGUUUGUUUAAGGGGCACCUCAUUGAGAGUCUGCUCAGAGCACUUGCGUGUGGUUUGCAGAGAGCGAUGGAGAUCAACUUUGCCCAUCCCUGAUCAAAAUGUAGAGAAACCUGCUAAGGUGUCUGGAGGACGGGGAAUCAAACAUAAUUGAAGAAAUACCUGGGGAUUGGAUGGGAGAGGGACUCAUGAGUUCCCACCCCUCACUGCAGAGCUAAUGGCAGUGGUGCCAGGAGGAGGAGGGUCAGUUUUCUUCAGAGAUGCAGUUCUGAGGAAGAUGGGGAACUGGGAGGGCAUAGGAGACAGAAAUAGGAGAGUUGGAGGGGAAGACUAUGAUCCAAAUGCAUUGUAUCUAAUAUAUGACAUUUUCAAAGAAUAAGUUUAAGUAUAUUUUUAGAAAACUAUGCUGCUGCUGUAACAACCUGUGGUACAAAUUCAUGACACUGAUACAGGCCUGAAGAGGCCCGUGGUUCUGACUUCAUUGAAAAGGCAAUUUUAUUUUGCAGUUAUGUUAUCUCCUAUGACAAAACAAAAAGUAGUAAAUAAUAAUACCUUAUAAAGAAAUAUGAAUACAACUAGACAUAACCAACGCCAUCUUAAUUGUCCUUGGUUAUAGGACAACCCAAUGUGGUUAUAAAACCACCCUGGCUUAACGUUCCUGAUACAGCUGCCAACCAUUGAGCUGUUUGUUCUUGAUUUCUGCUGAAGUGGGUUGGGUACUUUCCAGUAAAAACCGCCUAAACCCGUCCUUACUCAUAUUUGCCUAGCACGUAGCAGAGAAGCCUUCCUGUUUGCACACCAUGCUGCUGGCUCAUAGCCCUGUGAUCAGACAUAUUUCCUCCUGUGGCAGCUGCUUCUUAUUCACCAGAACUCCAUGUUUCCUGAAACAGGCUUUCUCCAUAUUGUGGAAAACUUGCAUGAUUGAAUCUUCCUACUUCUGAAGAUGAAAUGAGUAGUUCUUUGCACACAAAGUUUGGAGGGUGCUUCUCAUUCUUCUCUUCUUCUCCUUUUUCUCAUUUACCUGAGAAGAAUUUUAAAUGGGUCAAAGGAAUGAGUGUCAGUCACCAAACUGACAAGUUGCCUUGAAUACCUGUAACUUUGUUAGAAUAAUAAAUUCUGGAGAAAACUAGUCUCAAUGUUGCUUUUGUCUUCUUCUUUUUUUGGGGGGAGGAUCAAAUAAUUUCCAAAUAACAUCUGCUGAGGUUUGAAUAUUAAAUGUCUCCCAGAGGCCUAUGUGCCUUGCUAGGCAGCUUGUGACAUUGUUGAUUGGGAAAUAGCAGAAACUUAAAAAUCUAAGGCUUGCUGGGAGUAAGUUAAGUCACUGGUGACUGUGCAAACCACAGUUCCCACCCUAAAGGGAAUAAGAGGUAGAUUAUUGGGAAACUGUUUUGGGUGACCACAGCCCAGGAACACAGAUUUAAGUUACUCCAAAUUCCAAGUUCCAACAUGGAAACAGUUCUGUAAAGUUUUAUGCUUUGACAGAACAAAGGAAGCCGCCAAUCAAGCACAGACUGUCCUUGGAUCAGCUCGGACGAGGACUGCGUGUAAGUGGCAAACAAAAUGAACUGUCACAAGUCCAGUUUGUCAAGUGCAUGAAGUUCUAGUGGAGAUCAAAAGAGGGCAUUAAUUUCUCUUGAACUGGAGUCAAAGAUGGUUGUGAGCCACCAGGAAGCUCAAGAAGAAGGAUGACCAAAAUGUGGAUGCUCCCACUCCUUCUUAAAAGGGGAAAGAAAUAUCCAUAGGAGGGGAUAUGGAAGCAACGUUUACAGCAGAGACUGAAGGAACAGCCAUUCAGAGCCUGCUCCACAUGUGGCCCAUAUAUAUCCAGCCACCAAAACUGGUAAAAAUGCUAAAAAGAGCAUGCUGAAAGGGACCAGAUAUAAAUCUCUCCUGAGAGACAUAUCCAGAGCAUGUCCAAUACAGAGAUCAAUGCUAGCACAAACCAUUGAACUGAGAACAGGACCCCCUUUGGGGGAAUCAGAGGAAGGUUUGAAAGAGCUGAAGGAACUUGCAACCCCAUAAUAACAAUAAUGCCAACCAACCAGAGCUUCCAGGGACUAAACUACAUCCAAAAGACUGUCCAUGGACUGACCCAAGGCUCCAACUGCAUAUGCAGCAGAGAAUAGCCUUGUUGGGGCACCAGGGGAAGGGGAAGCCCUUGGUCCUGCCGAGGUUGGAACCCUAGUGUAGG